AGAGUUUGAUCAUGGCUCAGGACGAACGCUGGCGGCGUGCCUAAUGCAUGCAAGUCGAGCGGGCUACGAUCUUCGGAUUGUAGCUUAGCGGCGAACGGGUGAGUAACACGUAGGUAAUCUACCCUUCAGAGGAGGACAACCUCAGGAAACUGAGGCUAAACCUUCAUACGUUCACUGGUAGGGAUACUGGUGAAGAAAGAGUUACCUUAGUGGUAGCUGCUGAAGGAUGAGCCUGCGGCCCAUCAGGUAGUUGGUGAGGUAACGGCUCACCAAGCCGAAGACGGGUAACCGGUCUGAGAGGAUGUCCGGUCACACUGGGACUGAGACACGGCCCAGACUCCUACGGGAGGCAGCAGCAGGGAAUCUUGGGCAAUGGGCGAAAGCCUGACCCAGCGACGCCGCGUGGAGGAAGAAGUCCUUCGGGGCGUAAACUCCUGGACUGGGGGACGAGUAAGGACGGUACCCCAGUAGAAAGGGACGGCUAACUACGUGCCAGCAGCCGCGGUAAAACGUAGGUCCCGAGCGUUGUUCGGAUUCACUGGGUGUAAAGGGCGCGUAGGUGGUUGUCUGUGUCUCAUGUGAAAACUCAGGGCUCAACUCUGAGAUUGCGUGGGAAACUAGGCAGCUAGAGGACGGUAGAGGGGAGUGGAAUUCCCGGUGUAGCGGUAAAAUGCGUAGAUAUCGGGAGGAACACCGGUGGCGAAGGCGGCUCUCUGGGCCGAUCCUGACGCUGAGGCGCGAAAGCUAGG
rnacentral:rRNA from 1 species